GGGGUUAUGGCUCAGUGGUGGAGCGCUUGCCUAGCACACGAGAGGCAUUGAGUUCAAUCCUCAGCACUUCA
rnacentral:tRNA from 1 species